GGGGCCAGAAAUCCGGAAGCAGGUUCUGGUUCUGGUUCUGAGGACAGUUCAAGCUACAGUAAACCUUGGAGUCAGAGCCUGGGAUCUGUGCUGAGGUACAGAACCAGAACCAGCAGCUCCAAGAAAAAGGAACCAGAGGCCAUCUUGGACCUGAUCCUGGAGUCUCAGCGCCAACGACCAGAGAGCCGGCCUCAGCCUGCUCCCUGACCCAGAACCGCCCCGCUGUGGUUCCUGCAGCGCUGGAGAGCCGAGUUUGGACUUCUACCACGUUGAUCCACUCCCAGUGUGGAAGACCAGAGGUGCUCUCUCACCUGGACGAUGCUGCCAGUUUAGUUCCUGAGGACCAGGAGAACAUCUUCAGUCUGGUUCAGAGAGUCCAGUCCAGGAGGGUGAUGAACAGAGAGCAUCAAUACUGCUGACAGGCAGUGAGGAAGAGCAGGACUAGGAGCUACCCGGCUGCUCUCACCAUCAUCGAUGUCAUUGAUUGACGAAGUCCGGGUUCUCCUGCGCGUCCGGAUCUUCAGAUGUGACCAACUGACUGAAGGUAGUUGCUGUGGGCACCUGGACCCUGAAGACUGAGAUCAUCACAGGACAGGACUCCCCAUGUUCCUCUGAGUGUCCUGCUGGAACCCGAACCUGGAGGUCCUGAGGAAGGUAGAGCACCUGUUGAGUCAGCAGAUGAAACCACUAACACCGAGAUCAUAGAUCAUAUCUCUCUGUGUUCAGGACGGGCUCUUUACAGCUUCUAGCUUCUCCUGUCGCAAAACCGCAACAGAUGAUUAUGGGUACUGUAGUCAAUCAGGAGCAC